rnacentral:rRNA from 1 species
UACGGAGGGAGCUAGCGUUAUUCGGAAUUACUGGGCGUAAAGCGCACGUAGGCGGCUUUGUAAGUAAGAGGUGAAAGCCCAGAGCUCAACUCUGGAAUUGCCUUUUAGACUGCAUCGCUUGAAUCAUGGAGAGGUUAGUGGAAUUCCGAGUGUAGAGGUGAAAUUCGUAGAUAUUCGGAAGAACACCAGUGGCGAAGGCGACUAACUGGACAUGUAUUGACGCUGAGGUGCGAAAGCGUGGGGAGCAAACAGG